rnacentral:rRNA from 1 species
UACGGAGGGUGCGAGCGUUGUCCGGAAUCACUGGGCGUAAAGGGCGCGUAGGCGGCCUGAUAAGUAGGGGGUGAAAUCUUGCGGCUUAACCGCAAGGCUGCCUUCUAAACUGUCGGGCUAGAGCACAGUAGAGGCAGGUGGAAUUCCCGGUGUAGCGGUGGAAUGCGUAGAGAUCGGGAAGAACAUCAGUGGCGAAGGCGGCCUGCUGGGCUGUUGCUGACGCUGAGGCGCGACAGCGUGGGGAGCAACAGGAUU